rnacentral:rRNA from 1 species
UACGUAGGGUGCGAGCGUUAAUCGGAAUUACUGGGCGUAAAGCGUGCGCAGGCGGUUCGUUGUGUCGGUGGUGAAAGCCCCGGGCUUAACCUGGGAAUGGCCAUGGAAACUGGCGAACUGGAGUGUGGCAGAGGGGGUGGAAUUCCGCGUGUAGCAGUGAAAUGCGUAGAGAUGCGGAGGAACACCGAUGGCGAAGGCAGCCCCCUGGGCUAGCACUGACGCUCAGGCACGAAAGCGUGGGGAGCAAACAGG